AUUGAACGCUGGCGGCAGGCCUAACACAUGCAAGUCGAGCGAGCGGCGGACGGGUGUGUAAUGUCUGGGAAAAUGUCUGAUGGGGGGGGGUAUAUCUUCGAAACGGUAUCUAAUACACCGCAUCAUAUGAUGUGUCCAGAUGGGAUUAGCUAGUGGGUGGGGUAACGGCUCACCCAGGCGACGAGCCCUAGCUGGUCUGAGAGGAUGACCAGCCACACUGGAACUGAGACACGGUCCAGACUCCUACGGGAGGCAGCAGUGGGGAAUAUUGCACAAUGGGCGCAAGCCUGAUGCAGCCAUGCCGCGUGUGUGAAGAAGGCCUUCGGGUUGUAAAGCACUUUCAGCGGGGAGGCGUUACCCGCAGAAGAAGCACCGGCUAACUCCGUGCCAGCCGCCGCGGUAAUAC
rnacentral:rRNA from 1 species